ensembl:antisense Gm15690 predicted gene 15690
CUUACCAGAUGAGAGGGUCAUCAAAGGGGGAAAUGUACACCCAACCCGGGUUGUUCUUUUCCAGAGCCUUGGCCACUUGGAUGGCCUCAUCCAGCAUCUGCAAGGGGCGGGGCGGGGAGACUGAGAUGAUGAGGGUCUCCAUCUAGUUAUCAGCCCUCCUGCCCACGAGGGAUCCGCACUCACCUCUCCCACCACUUCAACUGUGGCGCCUUCAUUCUUGAGCCGCUCAAUGAUUUGUUGGGGCUGGAGAGACGGCUCAGCAGUUAAGAGCACUGACUGCUCUUCCAGGUGUCCUGAGUUCAAUUCCUGGCACCCACGUGGUGGCUCACAACCUUCUGUAAUGCCUUCUUCUGGUGCGUUUGAAGACAGUGACAGUGUACUCAUCAUAUAUAUAAUAAAUAAUAAUAAUAAAAGAGAUUUGUUUCAU